rnacentral:rRNA from 1 species
UACAGAGGGUGCAAGCGUUAUUCGGAAUCACUGGGCGUAAAGUGCACGUAGGUGGCUUGGUAAGUUAGACGUGAAAUCCCUCGACUCAAUCAGGACAUGCAUCUAAUACUGCUAGGCUAGAGUAUAGGAGGGGAGAACGGAAUUUCUGGUGUAGGAGGUGAAAUUCGCAGAGUAUCAGAAGGAACAACAGUGGGCGAAAGCGGUUCUCUGGACUAUGAACUGCUGAGGUGCGAAAGCGUGGGGAG